AACGAACGCUGGCGGCAUGCCUAACACAUGCAAGUCGAACGAGAUCUUCGGGUCUAGUGGCGCACGGGUGCGUAACGCGUGGGAAUCUGCCCUUUGGUUCGGAAUAACAGUUGGAAACGACUGCUAAUACCGGAUGAUGACGAAAGUCCAAAGAUUUAUCGCCAGAGGAUGAGCCCGCGUAGGAUUAGCUAGUUGGUGUGGUAAAGGCGCACCAAGGCGACAAUCCUUAGCUGGUCUGAGAGGAUGAUCAGCCACACUGGGACUGAGACACGGCCCAGACUCCUACGGGAGGCAGCAGUGGGGAAUAUUGGACAAUGGGCGAAAGCCUGAUCCUGCAAUGCCGCGUGAGUGAUGAAGGCCUUAGGGUUGUAAAGCUCUUUUACCCGGGAUGAUAAUGACAGUACCGGGAGAAUAAGCUCCGGCUAACUCCGUGCCAGCCGCCGCAGUAAGAC
rnacentral:rRNA from 1 species